GUAUUAGGGUUUCCUAAUUGAGCUCUUUCAUUUUCUCCACAAUGUCGUCGCAGGGAGCUCUCUUCAACUCCACUUUCCUUUUCCUUAUGAUGUAGGUUAUCAACACCUUCAUUUGGACCGUAAUCAUUAUCAUUUUUGUCAGCUCAUUGAGGUACGUCUCCAUUAAAUUUUAGCUAACAUUCCCUUCGCGAUUUGUCUGCUGACCUUUUUUUUAGGAAUUCAAUAUUGUGGAUGUAGUGGUUACUUUGGUGGUGUUGAUAGAAGUGCCUUGUCUGGUAUUUGAGCUUGCAAAUCCCUAUAGGUGACAUUUUUCUCCCGUGUCCUCUUUGGAUACUUUUAUCGCUUUCUAACUUGUUUUCUAGAUGAAGAGACAAUGCAUAUACCAAGAUGAUAAUUCUCUUCUUUGUAGAGUUCAUCCUCAUCUGUCAUGCUAUAAUGCCUGGAACUGUCAAAAUGGGGUUGGCCUAUUAAGUUAGCCCAAUCCAACCCUUGAAUUAAGUAUGGUUGGGCAUAACUUUUUUGACCUAUUUAGGUUUUUGAUCCAACUUCAUUUGCAUCGCUAACCUUAUGGGCCCAACGCACAAGGCAGGCAUGCCAAUCUUUUGACUUCUUUCUUAACCUUUUGGGGUAUUUUGUUGUUGCAGUGCUAUGUUUUUGUUUCUUUUGUUUCAUGUGUUUAUUGCACCUUUUUGAUUUUCGAUCGCAAUUUUCUAAUUUUUUUAAAGGAUGGUUUAGACUUGGAUUUGUUGAAAAUAUUUGGAAUCUAUAGAGUUUCGUCAAUAGGUUUCAUUUGAGAUUUCCUCUUCUGGAAUUGAUCUUGCCCCAUUUUUUUCUUGAUUUUGCUUUGCGAUUGAUUCUCGAUCUCAAUUUUCAAAAAAUUCUUGAGGAUGCUUUAGUGUUGGAUUUUUUUUGAAAAUAUUUGGGAUCUAGAGAGUUUCGUCUAAAGGUUCCAUUUGAGAUUUCCUAUUCUGGAGUAGAUCUAGCCCCAUUUUUUUUCUUGAUUUUGCUUCACACUUCAUUUCUCUAUUCACAUUUUCCUUGCAACUCUUAACCUUUUUUGGGGUAUUUUUUUGUUGCAGUUCUAUUUGUUUGUUUCUUCUAAUUGUUAUGUUUAUUUCCCCACAUUGAUUCCUGAUCUCAUUUUCAAUCUCUUCUUUAGGUUGCUUUAGAAUGGAUUUGUUAAAAACAUUUGGGAAUGGAGAGUUUCAUUUAGAGGUUCUAUUUUAGAUUUCCUAUUCUGAAGCCAAUCUAAAAUCUUUCUAUUUUUUUUCUUGAUACUGGUUAGCAAUUAAGUCCUCUAUUCUCAUUUUUCCGUGCCAUCUAUGAUUCAUUUCCGAUGAUGUUCUCUAUGGGAUGCUUGGUUAGCAAUUAAUUCCUCUACUCAGAUUUUCCCCUAGCUGCUUUGAUUCUUUGCUAAUGUUGUUCUCUCUAUAAUUUUUGGUUAGUUUCUAUCCAAGUACUCUUCAUGCUUAAUGUGGUAAUUGUAUUUUUCAUUCUCUUGUCGCAUCAAAUGUGUGUUUUGGAAACUCAAAUGUGUAAGCAUUCCGGGAGAAGCAAACAGGUGUACAAUUCUUUUGUGUGAACAGGGCAUUAGUUCGAUAUCGGGGGCAUUGAAGAGUUGUCUGGGACAUGGGAGUUUUCAAGGAUCGUCUAGUCAAGCCUACUCGUCUCGAAUUCAUUGUCUUUUCUAUUUCACUUUUGGGUUUGUAAUAACUUAUGAACUACAUUUCUUGUAAUAUUAAGAAUAAGUGCUUCUCUUAUUUGGGUUGGGGAAACAUUAUGUGCUA